rnacentral:rRNA from 1 species
GUCGAACGAUGAACCUCCUUCGGGAGGGGAUUAGUGGCGAACGGGUGAGUAACACGUGGGCAAUCUGCCCUUCACUCUGGGACAAGCCCUGGAAACGGGGUCUAAUACCGGAUACGACACACGACCGCAUGGUCUGUGUGUGGAAAGCUCCGGCGGUGAAGGAUGAGCCCGCGGCCUAUCAGCUUGUUGGUGGGGUGAUGGCCUACCAAGGCGACGACGGGUAGCCGGCCUGAGAGGGCGACCGGCCACACUGGGACUGAGACACGGCCCAGACUCCUACGGGAGGCAGCAGUGGGGAAUAUUGCACAAUGGGCGAAAGCCUGAUGCAGCGACGCCGCGUGAGGGAUGACGGCCUUCGGGUUGUAAACCUCUUUCAGCAGGGAAGAAGCGAGAGUGACGGUACCUGCAGAAGAAGCGCCGGCUAACUACGUGCCAGCAGCCGCGGUAAUACGUAGGGCGCAAGCGUUGUCCGGAAUUAUUGGGCGUAAAGAGCUCGUAGGCGGCUUGUCACGUCGGAUGUGAAAGCCCGGGGCUUAACCCCGGGUCUGCAUUCGAUACGGGCAGGCUAGAGUUCGGUAGGGGAGAUCGGAAUUCCUGGUGUAGCGGUGAAAUGCGCAGAUAUCAGGAGGAACACCGGUGGCGAAGGCGGAUCUCUGGGCCGAUACUGACGCUGAGGAGCGAAAGCGUGGGGAGCGAACAGGA